AUUAGGUCCAGACGUUGCGCUGAAGUGCAACAAAGAAGUGGAAACCUGUGAGAAGACUCCCGAGCACACAGCCCCUCCAGUCCUCCCCGCCCGACUCGCCCGUGUCUUGAGAUGGCGUUCGAGCACUCCAAUGUCGCUGACGGAGAUUGAUUUGACAGCUCAUGCAGCGAGAGCACGAAGGCUGAUUCGCUGUCGCCUCCAGCAAUAGGAGCCCAGCGUGGCCCCAAGCCUCCAUGAGGAUCCACCGGGAUGGGACGAUGGCUGCCACAUAUAAAGCCUGAACAUGGCACCUCAAGUUCACCAAGAUCAAUUAGAUAAAGGAAGAAACAAAAACUAAACUGAUAGGAACAUUAUUUAGGCUCCUCUGCAUGGAGGUAUGUAUGCAUUAUUUCCAACUGUAAGUGAAAAAUGUGCCAAAAACUGUUUAAUUCUUUCCAUUUUAUUGAAUAUUUUCAAUACUGUGUGUUUUUACAAAGUACAAUAUUAUAGAGUGCUAUUUUUUUUUUCAAAUUUCAAAUGACAUUUCCAUUCAUUUCAGUCUCGAGUUGAUUUGAGAUGGUCACGGAAAAAAUUAAACUCGUAUCGCAAGGCACCAUUGUAUAUCCAAACUCUAUAAUGCACAUAAAUAUCCAUAGGCUGUAAUGUAUUUCUCUGUGCAAAGCUAUUUUUAACACUUUCCGCCCUACAUAUUUUCUGCCCUCCGUUUAGAAGUGUUUUCUCGCCAGUCACGUCUUAUGAGGCCUCGUGCUGACCCCCACCACCGCCUCCAUCUCCCCACCCCCGGCGCAGCACAGUCGCAUUAUUAAACUUGUAUAAGAUCAUUAGCAUACAAAGCAGGAAACCUACAGCAUCGCAGUCAUACAUAUUUAUCUGGACGUGCCUGGCUCGCACUUGCACUGUAACCCCUUUGCACGCAAAGCGUGUCCGGCUAGCUGUCGCAGGUGACGGCACAUUUCGGCCGCUGUGAAGUGGGUAUUACUUGAAGCGUGCCCGGUUUUAAGGGGUAGAUAUUUAUCGAGACGAUGCCGCCCUGUAAGGGAAGGUGCACAUUUGGAAACAGCAGACGGACGCUCGGGUUCAUCACUGCGCUUUGUUUCAACCACAACAAAUGUAAUUUCCACACGAGCGUCUAAUAAGCAUAUACAUAAUCAAAUACAUAUUCAUCUGCUCGCGCACAUAAUCAAACAGGGACUUGGCGAGUACACAAGUGUCACCUGUGGGUUAGCUGUGCAUGAGUGGGAGAGCAGCUCCGCUUCUGCAAAAUGCACUUUGCGCACGACCACGCCAUCAUUGUCUCCUUGCUCUCCUGGGUACCACCCCCCUCUGUUUUCCUGCUUUCCCCUUCCCCUCUUUUUCAAGCUCCCCCCUGAUUGCCAACCCCUCCAUGCUUGCGAUGUAGAAUUCUCUUGAUAGCAUGCCUUGCUUUUCCCCAGUGGCAUUUAACACACAAAAUUGGGUGGGGCUCUAAAAAAAUGCAUAGUCUUUGUCAAACUUGGCAUUUAAACAUUUUAGUAAGCUACUAGAUACUGCAAUGUAGAUCUACAAAUGUGUUUGCUUUCAUUUUCCUCUUCAUGGCCCCUUGUUGCGAGGCAGAGUCCCUGGGGCUCAUUCAUCGCUGCCCCAAAGGCCAGUGACAACGCACCAAUCAAACUAGAGGCUGAAGGUGAAAGCCAAUAGGAACAAUACUAUAAGAAAUACGUUUACCGACACAAACUGAUAGAAUCGCGAUCCGCUGGUUGCCACUGCUUCUUCCUUCCUUUCCUCCCCCCUCCCCCCACCCCCUCUUCUUCCCUCCUGUGAGAUUGCUGUUGUGUCUUAUGGCUUUUUAUUCCUACGUGAUGGUCGAUGGGUUCAUGUAGGAGCAGAAGCCACUAAACACGCGGUGACCGCUCAGCGCGACGGCCGACGUCACACUGAUUUUGUUGUUGUUGUUGAAUUUAUUCAUCGUUCUGCCUCCGAACAGGAGGUGUAAAGUUUUCAUUACAAAAGCAGGCCACAGAGAUGAGAUGCAUAGAGGUAGGUCCUCCUUCUUUUUAUGUACUUUGGGAAAACAAUGUAGAAAUGGUCAUCAACACAUCACACGUCCAAUAUUCAAGUUUAAAAAUGUAAAUUAAUUGGAUACUUUCCUGAAAACUUGCAUUUCUUACCUCUUUCAAUACUUUUUGACCAACUUGUGGAACAGUGGCAUUUAUUCCCUUAAAGCUCCCCUUGAGCUGAGUUCCCCACCAACCAAUUAAGCGUAAAAUUCAAAUGACCCCCAUUGCUGUUGGGUCCACUUUGGCGUGAUGGGAUUGGGUUUAAAUGUCAACUGUCUGUUCGUGUCGCCGGCUCGCCCCCCUGGAGCGCAAUCCGAAUAAAGCCUGAACGUGUUGUUGUUGUAAGCCAAAAGGCUGAAUUAUGAAUCCACUGGAUGUAUAUUACAACGGUUUGACACAUGCUUCCAAUUGUGGGACAUUACUUCUGCACCGACGCAAGGUUGGAUUAAUAUUCAAGAUGACAUUGCAAUAGCUGUGCUCUACUGGGGUUUAAUGAUUUAUUCACCGCUGCGAGUUGUUGUGAUCUAAUAUUCCGCAGGCGGGAUGGGAAGUUUCUUUCGCUUGCAUUAUCGGUUUAAUUUAUUUUACGUGGUGUUUCUUUUUCAUACGCGUGGGGGUCUGAGAGAAUUCCAGAGCAGAGUCGAGAUGGGUCUUUUCGAUCCUGGACCAGCAGGGGCUCUAUGGGAAUCUGAAGGUAGGAACGCAUGUCUUAGAGGAGUAGAGGAGGGAGUAUUAUUUCCAAAUAGCGCAGGAAGGAGAUUGAUUGCAGAUGCCUGCGGCUGCGUGCGCCUUAUGAUCUGAUGCUGCUUUCGACGUUGCAAAUGUCAGAAACGCGCUGAGAAAUCCGACGGCACGAACGCAUUUGCACGGACGUGCGCUGGGUCUCGAUUAGGCCUCGGCGUCCGUGGGUCCUCGAACCCCGAUCGAGUGGCGCGAGGUCACGCGACCCUCAACUUCAAUUUUUAAAGUGACCGUCAGAAAUUGAAUUUUCAUGUGACAAAUGACAUGUGAUGUGUUUGUGUACAGUAUCAAACCCUCCGCAGGCUACGCUUUGAUUUGCCUGAUAAAUAAUGCUCUUUUGUGUUCUCUGCUUCAUUUGUUCCCGUUUGUAAUGUCAGCGCUGUUCAAUAAAACAUGAACAAUGCCUAUUCAA